rnacentral:rRNA from 1 species
UACAGAGGAUGCAAGCGUUAUCCGGAAUGAUUGGGCGUAAAGCGCGCGUAGGCGGAUCGCUAAGUCAGGGGUGAAAUCCCAGGGCUCAACCCUGGAACUGCCUUUGAUACUGACGAUCUGGAGAUCGGGAGAGGUUGGUGGAAUUCCGAGUGUAGAGGUGAAAUUCGUAGAUAUUCGGAGGAACACCAGAAGCGAAGGCGGCCAACUGGCCCGAUACUGACGCUGAGGCGCGAAAGCGUGGGGAGCAAACAGG